rnacentral:lncRNA from 1 species
GGAAGGCAAGUAUAACCCAUACAUUACCGGCCAGAGGCAGAGAGCAGUGCCUUGUGGAGCCAGGAAGGGCCUACUGAUGGUCACAAAAAUGUCUUUCCGCCUGGCGCCUGUGUGCUACUCUGACGGUGUUGUCUGAAUUAUGGACACAAGGCCCAAGUCUGCUUGAGUUUCCCUUGGAAAUUUUGGUAAUAAAAAGCAGAAAAGGUGUUUCUUGAAAAAAUACAAUAUGAAACACGAAAAGGCAAAUAAGCAAUUAACAUGAAGCGAACCAUUCUUGGCUUCCUUGUGUCUCCCUUUUCCUGCCUUCCUACCUCUAGUGCAACCUUCACGAUUCCUUUGCAAAGGAAUGAAAUCUCUAACAGGGAGAAAGCUGAAGACCCAGUUUGGUUUUGCUGCUGAAAAAUGUACAAAACACUUGGAAAAACCAGUCGAGGUCCAAUUUGUGAGCCCACUACUUGUACCUGCCCACUCUUGAUCUGAGAAAAGUUGCUAACCACGGGGCAAGACAGAGCUUUCACGAAGAUUCCUGCCACCUGCUGGGCGCACGGCUGGAUGUUGUGGCCGUAUAUUGCGCUGUGGUCCCUUCUUCCUCCACAGGAGCUUCUCUUGGGAUGGAACUUUUAGGUUCUCAGGCAGAAGGGCUCAGGACAAACACCAGAGAACGUGGCAUGCCAAUUUAAGGAUUUAUUGCAUCUUAUAAUUCCACACUCAUUUGCACAUUCUGGCGAUGUCGUUCAUGGAGGUGAUGAUUACUGUGGGGGUUGGACUACGCACAGCCACUUUCCAAGAGCAAUGCAGAAUGGAGGUCUCUCAAGAUUGUACAGCUUAUUCCAAUGACUCCCUGGUGAUGACUCCAAGAUUCAUUAAAAAGAAUGGAAAUUUGGUAGUAGGGAGAGAUUUUACCUUGGAGGUGAUGCCUGCAAACAUUUCUAGCCAUUGCAGAGGCACCAGCACCCUGAGCAGCGCUGCCAAGCUCCUUCUGCCAGGACUAAACUCAGCAUCGCACCAACAAGCCACCGUCGCUUUGAACUGUCUGUGUCAGAUAAGGUAAACUAUUAUAUGGCAAUGAAAAGAAAGACAAACCCAUGCUCCGUAAAUGAUGUUCAACUGUUGGGAUUAAUUUCUCAGCCGAACAGCAUCUUCAGCGUCUCUAAUACCAAAUGAUGCAUUACAAAAAACGAAACAGCCUUUCAGCCAUGUUCAUUAAGAAUCUUGUAAUUAAGAAGUUGCAAGAGAACACAGUGUCCCUCUCUCUGAUUACAGCCCAUGUUUAAAUAUGACAUCUAACAGUUAUAUUCUCUUAAUUCCUCAAAAUGAAGAAUAAAGUAAAAUCAAGACAGGUUAUACCUUUGGUGUUCUUUUUAUAAAUCAAGUCUUAUAAGGAAGAAAUUCCUCUAAAGCGUUUCAGAUUUGGCUCAGAUCAAAUAAAAAGGCAAACAUUACUGGGAAAAUUGCCAUUUGUCAACUGUUCCAUGUCAUAUCAUGUGAUGAUAGAGUUCUCUAAACAGCAAAUGUCAGAUGCUGACACUCUACCGUAUAAACUAAAACAAGGAGAAAAUCGAGCUUAAAUUAUCCAAAAAUAUUGGCAGCAGUACGUUUCUAGUUGAAUGGUGUUUGUGAUGACUAAUAUUUUCUUCCUAAGGUUCUAGCAUGCCUUCAUUUAUUUUCUAUAGGACAUCCCUGCGGGGAGAGACACAGAGAACACAAGAGAGUCGUUAUUUUUAAAGUUAACAAAGAAAAAAUGAUUUUGAAUCCUUGCUUAAUUAAAAAUGGAACAGUACAAGAGGGUGACUCACUUCUCCCGUAAGAAGCUGAAAAUUAAAAAUUAUGCAG